rnacentral:lncRNA from 1 species
AUUUACCGUGGAAAACUCCUUGCUCAAGGAAGUAAAAAACCACGACCUACACUGCAUAGGAUUUCACCACAAAUCUCCACUAAUUUCAACGAGCUUUGUUCAAGAUUACUACCUCGUAAUCCCAGAACCUAACUCUUAAUUCACAACUCCACAAUUUACUCCAACUGUUCUACCCACUAUAUGAGUACUCUAAGAAGUCAAACCCGUUUCUUGUUACAACACCACACAAACAAGAAGUCAAACCCGCUUCUUGUUACAACACCCCA